AAUCAACGCUGGCGGCGCGCCUAACACAUGCAAGUCGAGCGAGAAAGGGGCAACCUGAGUAAAGCGGCGUACGGGUGAGUAACACGUGGAUCAUCUACCCUUUUGUGGGGAAUAACUCUGGGAAACCGGAGCUAAUACCGCAUAAGUCCGAGAGGAGAAAGCAGCAAUGCGCAGAAGGAGGAGUCCGCGGCCGAUUAGCUAGUUGGUGAGGUAAUGGCUCACCAAGGCAACGAUCGGUAGCCGGCCUGAGAGGGCACACGGUCACACUGGCACUGAGACACGGGCCAGACUCCUACGGGAGGCAGCAGUGGGGAAUCUUGCACAAUGGGGGAAACCCUGAUGCAGCGACGCCGCGUGAGCGAUGAAGCCCUUCGGGGUGUAAAGCUCUUUCGACGGGAACGAUAAUGACGGUACCCGGAGAAGAAGCUGCGGCUAACUACGUGC
rnacentral:rRNA from 1 species